rnacentral:rRNA from 1 species
GACGAACGCUGGCGGCGUGCCUAAUACAUGCAAGUAGGACGCAGUUGCGAACGUGUGAGUAACGCGUCGGUAACUGCCUUUUGGAGGGGGAUAACUAAUGGAAACGAUAGCUAAUACCGCAUACUAGUAGAUGGACCUGCGUUGUAUUAGGUAGUAUGUAGGGUAAUGGCGUACCUAGGCGACGAUACAUAGCCGACCUGGUAGGGUGGUCGGCCACACUGGGCCUGAGACACCGCCCAGACUCCCACGGGAGGCAGCAGUAGGGAAUCUUCGGGAAUGUGGGGAACCCUGGCCGAGCAACGCCGCGUGAGUGAAGAAGGUUUUCGGGUCGUACAGCUCUGUUGUUAAGGAAGCGGUACUUAACCAGAAAGGGACGGCUAACUACGUGCCAGCAGCCGCGGUAAUAC